UACGAAGGGUGCAAACGUUGCUCGGAAUUAUUGGGCGUAAAGCGCACGUAGGCGGCUUAGCAAGUCGGAAGUGAAAUCCCUCGGCUCAACCAAGGAAGUGCUUUCGAAACUGCUGAGCUUGAGUACUAAAGAGGAUCGCGGAAUUCCCGGUGUAGAGGUGAAAUUCGUAGAUAUCGGGAGGAACACCAGUGGCGAAGGCGGCGAUCUGGGGUAGAUACUGACGCUGAGGCACGAAAGCGUGGGGAGCAAACAGGAUUAGAAAACCCCCUGGU
rnacentral:rRNA from 1 species